ACACUGAGACCAGCAAAAUAUCUGUGACACUCUUCCUCAUUUUUCUUGGUCUCCUCUACUGGUAUUCAGUCCAUCCCUUCUCAGUCCUCUCACGAUGUGGCAUCAAACAUCCAAAGCCAGUGCCUUUCUUUGGCAACUUAUUCAUGUUUCAGCAGGGUUUUUUCAAACCUCUGAAUGAUCUUGUCAAAACAUAUGGUAAAGUAUGUGGGUA